UGGGCUUGUCUCUCUGAAAAUUGGAGU
rnacentral:piRNA from 1 species